rnacentral:rRNA from 1 species
GACGAACGCUGGCGGCGUGCCUAAUACAUGCAAGUCGAGCGCAGGAAGACGUUCUGAACCCUUCGGGGGGACGACGGUGGAAUGAGCGGCGGACGGGUGAGUAACACGUAAAGAACCUGCCCAUAGGUCUGGGAUAACCACGAGAAAUCGGGGCUAAUACCGGAUGUGUCAUCGGACCGCAUGGUCCGCUGAUGAAAGGCGCUCCGGCGUCGCCCAUGGAUGGCUUUGCGGUGCAUUAGCUAGUUGGUGGGGUAACGGCCCACCAAGGCGACGAUGCAUAGCCGACCUGAGAGGGUGAUCGGCCACACUGGGACUGAGACACGGCCCAGACUCCUACGGGAGGCAGCAGUAGGGAAUCUUCCACAAUGGACGAAAGUCUGAUGGAGCAACGCCGCGUGAACGAUGAAGGCUUUCGGGUCGUAAAGUUCUGUUGUAAGGGAAGAACAAGUGCCGCAGGCAAUGGCGGCACCUUGACGGUACCUUGCGAGAAAGCCACGGCUAACUACGUGCCAGCAGCCGCGGUAAGAC